GACUCCCGUCCUUCUUAUGUUAUGACGCGUUGCCCCUAAAGCGCCGGAUUCCCAGGUGAGACCCGAUCGUGUGAAUCCGCGUGACCGGGCAUUCUGUCACUGUCUGCACAAAAAGGCGUUCCACACAAAGUGCAAAUUCGGAAAAAUCGAGCUGGAAUGUGGUGAGGGUAUUCGUUGUCUGACCACAAACUCUUUCGAUUUCGAAACACUCUUGACGUCCCUUCCGUUCAUCCCCAAACACUCCAAUCGAAAACAGGAACCCAUCGAUGCCCAAUCCCGCGAGAAUGACAAAUGGCUCCUUGAAGUUCCUGCUGGUCACGCUGCUGCUGACUAUAAUGCUCGAUGUUGUCAUCUGUUCACCGGAUUCUGAUGAGGAAAUCCUCCCCUCUUUCGACAAAAGUGAUUGCAUGAGAGGAUCGUUGAAAUGCCGCGAGCAAUGCAGACAGAACUCUUGGAAAACCGGAUUCUGUUCCGAGAUUUUCGAGUGUCACUGUGUCGGACAUUAGGACAUUCCCUCCUUAAGCUCAAGAUGAUGACCCCGGUUUGCAGCGACGACCUAGCAGGAUUAUAGGUUUAAAAGCAUUCAAAUUUCCCUGAAUAAAUGGAAGGAAGAAGA